CCGGGGCUAAUACCGGAUGGUUGUCUGGACCGCAUGGUUCAGACAUAAAAGGUGGCUUCGGCUACCACUUACAGAUGGACCCGCGGCGCAUUAGCUAGUUGGUGAGGUAACGGCUCACCAAGGCGACGAUGCGUAGCCGACCUGAGAGGGUGAUCGGCCACACUGGGACUGAGACACGGCCCAGACUCCUACGGGAGGCAGCAGUAGGGAAUCUUCCGCAAUGGACGAAAGUCUGACGGAGCAACGCCGCGUGAGUGAUGAAGGUUUUCGGAUCGUAAAGCUCUGUUGUUAGGGAAGAACAAGUGCCGUUCAAAUAGGGCGGCACCUUGACGGUACCUAACCAGAAAGCCACGGCUAACUACGUGCCAGCAGCCGCGGUAAUACGUAGGUGGCAAGCGUUGUCCGGAAUUAUUGGGCGUAAAGGGCUCGCAGGCGGUUUCUUAAGUCUGAUGUGAAAGCCCCCGGCUCAACCGGGGAGGGUCAUUGGAAACUGGGGAACUUGAGUGCAGAAGAGGAGAGUGGAAUUCCACGUGUAGCGGUGAAAUGCGUAGAGAUGUGGAGGAACACCAGUGGCGAAGGCGACUCUCUGGUCUGUAACUGACGCUGAGGAGCGAAAGCGUGGGGAGCGAACAGGAUUAGAUACCCUGGUAGUCCACGCCGUAAACGAUGAGUGCUAAGUGUUAGGGGGUUUCCGCCCCUUAGUGCUGCAGCUAACGCAUUAAGCACUCCGCCUGGGGAGUACGGUCGCAAGACUGAAACUCAAAGGAAUUGACGGGGGCCCGCACAAGCGGUGGAGCAUGUGGUUUAAUUCGAAGCAACGCGAAGAACCUUACCAGGUCUUGACAUCCUCUGACAAUCCUAGAGAUAGGACGUCCCCUUCGGGGGCAGAGUGACAGGUGGUGCAUGGUUGUCGUCAGCUCGUGUCGUGAGAUGUUGGGUUAAGUCCCGCAACGAGCGCAACCCUUGAUCUUAGUUGCCAGCAUUCAGUUGGGCACUCUAAGGUGACUGCCGGUGACAAACCGGAGGAAGGUGGGGAUGACGUCAAAUCAUCAUGCCCCUUAUGACCUGGGCUACACACGUGCUACAAUGGACAGAACAAAGGGCAGCGAAACCGCGAGGUUAAGCCAAUCCCACAAAUCUGUUCUCAGUUCGGAUCGCAGUCUGCAACUCGACUGCGUGAAGCUGGAAUCGCUAGUAAUCGCGGAUCAGCAUGCCGCGGUGAAUACGUU
rnacentral:rRNA from 1 species